UGUUCACGGUUCAUGCAAGGUUUAGCAUCAUCCCCUGUUGCCAGUGUAUCACAAGGUAUACUCCCAGGAAUUCCUCUGGGACUAGACAGCUCCACACGGCUCAAUCGGUCAGUAUUGCUCUAGCCCACAAAUCAUUCUUCACAGUGAGCAGGACAUGCUGCAAGAGAGCUCACAUCCUAGAUCAAUGAAUGGGCACUCCAGAAGUGGCCAAUUUUCCAGUGGUCAGGUGGAGCAGGGCCGAAUCAUUCAAUCUCUUUGGCUCCAGCGUGCUUCUCAUGGGAUCUUCCAGGGCAUUCUUUGCAAGCAUGCAGCGCAUGGUGCAUGGCAAUCCACACAAUAUCAAUGGUGUUGAAGGAAUUUGUUCAAGGGAUUGGCAUGCGGUGUUCAAAUGGAUUAACAUGGUCACAUGCAUUAGUGGAUACUGUGGAGGAGCUGAAUGGUUCCAAGAUUCCUAAGUUAGUUUUUUCUUAUUUUACUUAUGUCUUUCUUGAAGCUGUUCCAAGUGUAUCUCACAAUCUUGAGAAGAGUAAAAACUCUUUCUUCAUUUCUCGUGCAACUCUUCUAGAUUGCAUCAGCAGGCUUGAAAGCUUUGCAUCAUCCCGGUCCAUUCCAGUUCUAGAAGUUCCAGGCAAAGCCAAGAAGAUUAGGCAGUAGUGUCUUAGAUCAAGAAAUUUGCUAGGUUGAUGGAAUUUCAGUUCUGCUUGGGAAGGCUCC
rnacentral:lncRNA from 1 species